UUUCCUCUGUAGAAGAGUAGUGUCACUCACAAAUGUAGGGCAAAUGUUUGAAAUUUCAAGGACCCGAGUGCAUUUUCUUCAAAAUACCCAACUUCUUAUGCUUAGAUCUUUCUCUUCGCCCAAACAACACUCUUUCACAGUGUCUUACCUCAUGAACUCAUGUGGGUUGUCCCCAGAAACUGCUCUAUCUGCAUCACGGAAGAUACAGUUUGAAACCCCAGAAAGAGCAGACUCCGUCCUCGCACUGCUUAGAAAUUAUGGAUGCACCAAUAGCCAUAUCUCCAAAAUUGUAAGCCGGUAUCCGCUCCUGCUCACUGCCAAUCCUGAGAAGACCCUUUUGCCCAAACUGGAGUUUUUCUGUUCUGUAGGCUUUUCAGGGCCUGACCUUGCCAGUAUUGUCGUUGCUGGCCCACAGAUCUUGAAAAGGAGCUUGGAAAAUCAUGUUAUUCCUAGUUAUAAUUUCCUCAAGAGUGUACUUAUGGUCAACGAAAAUAUUGUGAGGGCCCUCAAUAAGUCAUACUGGCUUCAUGGUCAAAGCCUGCAAAACAUCAUGGCUCCAAAUAUUGCAAUUCUGAAAGAAAUUGGAGUUCCCAUGUCAAAUAUUUCAUUUUUGGUAACAUGUCACCCUGGCGCAGUGUCCCAAAACAAGGAAAAGUUUAGUAGAAGUGUCAAGAUGGUUAUUGAAAUGGGAUUUGAUCCUUUGAGAGUUCCAUUUGUGAAAGCUGUUCAAGUGAUCAUGGAAAUGGGUGAAUCAAUGUGGGAGCAUAAAAUGGAGGUUUAUAGGCGGUGGGGUUUGACAGAUGAUGAGAUUAUGUUGAUGUUCCGAUUGGAUCCCUUAUGUAUGAAGUCAUCGGAGAAGAAAAUAAUGAGUGUGAUGGAUUUUCUGGUUAAUAAGAUGGGUUGGAAACCUGCUGCUAUUGCUAGAUAUCCAACAGUCUUUUUGCGCAGUCUUGAGAAGAGGAUUAUUCCAUGGUGUUCAGUAGUGAAAGUUCUUCAAAUGAAGGGGUUGGUGAAGAAGGAUCUGUGUUUGAGUUUUUUAGGCUCCAAUGAGAAGAAUUUGUUCAAUAGGUUCAUGGUGAAAUAUGAGCAUGAUGUUCCUGAGCUUUUAAAUGUAUAUCAAGGAAAAAUUGGUAUUUUGGAACUUGGCUUCGUGUCUGAGGGGAUAAUGUAGGAUGAAACAGUUGUAGUUUCUCAACUUAACAAUUCCAAAUAAUUAUCCUUUCUGUCGUUUUUAUUAUUUGAGACUUGGUUUGAAGUCAUGCUAACUUCUCUUUUGCACUGUUUUUGACUUUGAUUGCUUUUGACCUUGUUUAAGAUGUAAUAUAGGAUGUCUUAAAAGUUCAUGGACACAUAUACAUUCUGGGGUGAAAAAAAAAAUGUAUAGAGGAUAACAACUAAUUAUUUUGUAUAGAUAGCCCUUGUAGACCAAAAUCCCCAUAAUAUGGUUCAUGGAGUGCUUCAGUUUAUCUACAAUCCCUUUUUUCUACAUGGGAAGUAAAUCAAAGAAGGGUCUAAAACUAUACUUUUUUUUGGCCUAACAAUAUUUGGAAUGUUGUAAAUUACUGAAGUAUUAUGAACUUGGCAUCAUUUUCCCCCUUACAUUAUAUUUGCAGUGAACUAGUGACCUGAUUUUCUACAUUAACUGAACUGAAAUUGAGUUCCUGUUGGGGGUUGUAGGAGCAUAGCUUUUAGCUUUGUUUUAAUUAGAAGGACAGCUCCAGAACAUGUGAAAUAUCCCAACUCCAAGUUGUGGGCAGUGCUAAGAUCUCCCUUUAUGGUUUAUCCUCAUGUUUUGGUCAAGAAAUAUGGCUUCCUCUGCAAAACACUUCAAUUACUACAAAUGAGAAGAAGCACCAAGGGAUUAAAUCCACCACUAAACUCUUUUUUCUUUUUUCUUUUUUAUAGGUCUAAAUCCACCAUGAACUCUGCUUUUUUUAAACCAUGUAAGUUUUCAAAUCUUUCUGAUAAUCGCCAAAUUAGGCAUCGUUCAAAGUAGCAAAAGAUGAACAAUAAUUUGUUUGGUUUUUCCCUUUCCAUCCCAUUUUUCUUUCCACCCAGAUCUCCAUAAUUUGGUUUUUCUAGUUGUUAUAGGUCCUUGAUUAAAAAUAGACAGGCAAGAAAUCUGGAUUGAUUUGCGUGUUGAACUUAUGGAAAUGAUGGUUGUGUUGUAACGUUUCUCUUACAUGUGAAAAUGAUGGUAAUUUUACAUUUCUCUUGCAUGUCUUCCCUUCUACAUUCUCCCUUUCAUUGUGGUCAAAGUUAGUACUGGGGAUACCCAAAGUUUCUUUUGAAAUGCCAAGUUUUGGGUUUUUAGUUCAAUAAAAGAGAAAUACAAAUGGGCAAGGAGAUCUCCAAAAGAUCAAGAAGGUAUAUAGAUAUUAAUUAUGUUGUAAAAAUAUCAAGAGAGCAUGUCGAGAUAGUUGCUGUAAUUCUAGCAGCAACUAGUUCAGACUUCAGAGUAAUUUCCUAAAUAAUGCCCCAUAAAACUAAAAGUUAAACAUGGUUGAGUGAUCUCAUCAUCAGAAACAACUUUUGUCUUGAAUUAUUCAUCUUUUGCAUGGCUCCUGGGGGAUCUGCUAGGUGCCUUCUUCACAUCCUCCUUCCCUGAUACUGAUAGUAGCGUUACUAGUGAGAUGAUCAAUUUACCAAAUCUUAAGCCUAUAUAUGAAAAAAAGAAGGUUGGUAGGCAGCUUGCAUUUCUGGAGUUUCAAUGGUUCUAUUUUUGGAAUAGGACCGUCUUGAGUUGUUCAAUUGUUAAAUAUCUGCUGUGGAAAGGCUUUGUAAUGAAAAAUUCUCGCUUAACUUAUAUAUUGAUAUCUGCUGAGAAUUAAUUCUUGCUUAGUUUGUGUUCAAAUGUCAGUAACAUGUUCAUCAAUUGUUCAAUUGUUCAAUGUCUGUCAGGGGAUAAUAGGUAUCUGGAUGGAAAGAACAGAAGUAAUUCAAGGUUCUCUAUAAGCUAAGAAAGGUACUGUAAGAUCAAAGGUUCUAUGGGGGCAUCAUCCUCCCAUCAUUGCUUUUACCUCGAAUUGGGUACCAAGUACUUGAUUGAUUAUUGUUGUGAUUCCCUUUAUUUUUAUUUUGCAAGGCAUUGCCUCAUUGGUUUUGCCUUGUCGUAACAUUUUCUUUUCAAGCCUGAUGCUCCAUAAUUCUGCUCUGCUGUUAUUCCAAGGCCUCUGUUCAUCCAAUGCCCCUUCAGUUCCUUCUCACAUGGAAACUUCUCAAGACCUUGGAUCUUCCCUGACAGUUCUUUCAAAGCAGAACGUGCCGUAUGCAACAUGUUGGGCCUUCUACUGAGUGACCCUGGGAAACUCCCGUUUGCCACAGAGCUUUGGUAUGAAUUGGAUGUUUCUAUUUGAUAAGGAAUACAAGGCAGCUAACCCAUUGGCAGACUUUGGAUUUUCUUUUCUAAUCUGUAAUAGUUGUUGGCUAAUGUAUUUCUACAGAGGCAGGCAACCCCACUGAGCCCCAAGUUCUAGCUUGCCUAGAGGUCUUAAAAUAAGAGUGGCGUUGGGGUCUCUUGCCUACAAAUUGCAGAAAAUGUGGUGGUUCUUCCUCAAGCAUUAUCAUUCGGGUUGGUCUAUGGUACCGAAUUUAGGGCGCUACCUUAGAAUUUUCCAUAUCAUAUUCAGACUUUAAAGCCUCUUGUCACAAGACUCACAACCAGCAAAGAAAUUAGGGUCAUGGGACUAGACGAUAACCAAUCUUUAUAAUCUAUAGGUAGAUUGAAGGGCAGAAAAUUCAUUUCUCUAUCAUAUGUAUGGAAAUUUAACUAUCAAGAUAAGUUGGUUUCUUUGCCAUUUGAUAAAUUGUGUAGUUUCAUCGCAUCUAAUUUGUGAUGUCCCACAUCGGAUAGGGGAGGAAGUUCCUGGCGCUAUAUAUGUAGAGGCUCUUCUUAACCAAGUAGACGCGUUUUAAAGCCGUGAGGGCCCUCCUUGGGCCCAAAGCGGACAAUAUCUACAUGGUUGGGUGCGGGUCGUUACAAAUGGUAUCAGAGCCGAUCCCCAACCCCGGUGUGGGGGUUUGUUUGGCUCCGUAAGGGGUGUUUGUCUGUUUGGCCCCACAAUCCCAUGGGACACAACGAGGACGUUGUGUCUGCAUGGGGGGGUGUUUGUGAUGUCCCACAUCGGAUAGGGGAGCAAGUUCCUGGCGCUAUAUAUGUAGAGACUCCUCUUAAUCAAGUAGACGUCUUUUAAAGCCGUGAGGGCCCCCUUGGGCCCAAAGCGGACAAUAUCUACAUGGUUGGGAGCGGGUCAUUACAUAAUUUGUACAUGAAAAGCAGUUCCAAAACUUUUUUCAAAGAAAAGACAUGAGGAAUGGGAAAAGAACUUCGAAGUUUUUAAGAAAAGUGAAUAAUUACAAUUAAAAGGGAUGAAAUAAUUCUCAAAUUUGUAAAUCUCAUUUCAUACCUAAUUUUUUAAAAACCUUCUUAAAAGUAUUUUGGGCAUUUACGAUCGAUAAAAUGGGCUCAUAUUCUCUAGAACAAUAUACAAACUUUCGUUACCACAUCCAACCAGAUAUGCAAAGUUUGUCCACUUAGAGAGGCUUAGAGCCAUUAUCAACCCCAUCUUUCCAUCAAAUAGAAUUGUCCCUAAAAGUAAGAAAGAAAGAACACUACUCUUUAUAAAAUCGUGUUAGAAUUUCUCUCCUUUUAAAACUAUGUAUGUAUAAAGGUUUUUCUCUAUGGGUUUUUUUCUUUGGAGAAUAUACAGAAAGAAGUUAUAGUAUUUCUCUCACAUUUCAAAACCAGGAAUGCAUGGAAAAGGGUUUUUUCUAUACGGGGCUUUCCAUGUUUGGAGAACGAGACAGAGAGAGGAGAGUCCAUAUGAAGUCUACUUGCUAGUUGCUGCCACGCAAAAGGUAUUUUAUAAUUUGAGUUCGAAUAAUUUAGUUCUUUUUUUAUUUUGUAUUUUUAAUUAAAUUAUGGCACAGAAAACAUUUUUUCCGUUUAGUAUAAAUGCAAUAAUAUUUGCUGGAGGAAAGAUAGAUUUUCCGGGCUCUGUUUGUGUAGAUAGAAAAUGGUUUGGGGAAACAUCUUUGGGCAUGGCGGUACAUUUCCAAUUCUGCCUAGCUGCUUCUGAUUUGUCGAUUGUUUGCUGCCUUGGCCAUUGCUUUUCUACUACAAAUUAGGGCUGAUCGAGCUUCGGAGCUUUACGAUCUUCAAAACUGGUGAGAGACACGAACAUUCUCUAGAAAUGAGUACUAGUUUCCUCUGUAGAAGAGUAGUGUCACUCACAAAUGUGGGCCAAAUGUUUGAAAUUUCAAGGACCCCGGUGCAUUUUCUUCAAAAUUCCCAACUUCUUAUGUUUAGAUCUUUCUUUUCGCCCAAACAACAUUCUUUCACAGUGUCUUACCUCAUGAACUCAUGUGGGUUGUCCCCAGAAAGUGCUUUAUCUGCGUCACGGAAGAUACAGUUUGAAACCCCAGAAAGAGCAGACUCCGUCCUCGCACUCCUUAGAAAUUAUGGAUGCACCAAUACCCAUAUCUCCAAAAUUGUUAGC
rnacentral:lncRNA from 1 species